GUGGGUAUAGUUCAGUGGUAGAGCACAUGCUUAGCAUGCACGAGGUCAGGGGUUCAAUCCCCAGUACCUCCA
rnacentral:tRNA from 1 species